rnacentral:lncRNA from 1 species
UUCAACUCACAAGAAGCCUACGUAAAACAGCAUUGUCAAGGACCUCAACUGGAGUCUUUUCAGCUGCACUAUAAUCAAUAUUCAUAGCAAUAGUAGUAUCAGCCUUUUGUUCUUCCUUUACUUUGUACUGCUACCACAUUCAAGAAGAAGAAAAUAGCAGUGUAAGAGAUCACAAGCUGAACAUUUAAUCCUUAUUAUGGUUUCUAAGACACAAGCAGUACUUUCAAUAACUUUCAAAUUAAUAUAAAACAAACUACAGUUUAACCUUGCAAGUCAAAACAGAAAGGGACAGAAAUAUAAAGCAGAAAUCAAAUUGGCAGUAAUUAGUAUUUAUUCUACGAAGUGUAGGGGUGUCACAUUUAGAUCAUUAAAUUGUAAACCACCUAACCUUGGGCAGCAUGGGUUGGGAGUAUAUUCAUGGUACGUCAAUUUGGGCACAACCCAAAUAAACCUAUCUAACAUUGUGAUCAAUUUUGGCCAUACUGAUUAUUAAUAAAAAGAGAACUCAUCAAAACACAACGAAAAGAAAGUUUUGAGGUUUUCCAAGUCCGAUAUAACACCAUGAUGAAGAAAAACAGUCUUUUUUAGUUUGGUUAUGGUAAUUAAACAAAUUAUAAUAAUCAAACAAGCAAAUUUAAAAAGGUUCCGAGUAUUGUUUCACCGAAUUGACCCAACUCAUCUCAAUCCGAGUAAACUUUGGGUGAGCUAUGACCCAACACGUUUAUGAGUCAACCCAAUUUAACCAGCAAAAUUUAUCCUAACACGUCCAUUUCACAGUUUGGAUAGAAAAGAAUUUACCUUUCCUUUUUAAAUUGUUACUCUUCUUGCAAGUUGAUGAAGUCGUGACAGGGAGUUUCUC